rnacentral:rRNA from 1 species
CACUCCUACGGGAGGCAGCAGUGGGGAAUUUUGGACAAUGGGCGAAAGCCUGAUCCAGCAAUGCCGCGUGAGUGAAGAAGGCCUUCGGGUUGUAAAGCUCUUUUGUCAGGGAAGAAACGGUGAAAGCUAAUAUCUUUUGCUAAUGACGGUACCUGAAGAAUAAGCACCGGCUAACUACGUGCCAGCAGCCGCGGUAAUACGUAGGGUGCAAGCGUUAAUCGGAAUUACUGGGCGUAAAGCGUGCGCAGGCGGUUUUGUAAGUCUGAUGUGAAAUCCCCGGGCUCAACCUGGGAAUUGCAUUGGUGACUGCAAGGCUAGAAUCUGGCAGAGGGGGGUAGAAUUCCACGUGUAGCAGUGAAAUGCGUAGAUAUGUGGAGGAACACCGAUGGCGAAGGCAGCCCCCUGGGUCAAGAUUGACGCUCAUGCACGAAAGCGUGGGGAGCAAACAGGAUUAGAUACCCUUGUAGUCCC